AUACGUAGGGGGCGAGCGUUAUCCGGAACUAUUGGGCGUAAAGAGUACGUAGGUGGUUUCCUAAGCGAGGGGUUUAAGGCACUGGCUUAACCAAUGUUCGCCCCCCGAACUGGGGAACUUGAGUGCUGGAGAGGAAAGCGGAAUUCCUAGUGUAGCGGUGAAAUGCGUAGAUAUUAGGAGGAACACCCGUGGCGAAGGCGGCUUUCUGGACAGUAACUGACACUGAGGUACGAAAGUGUGGGGAGCAAACAGGAUUAGAUACCCUGGUAGUCCACACCGUAAACGAUGAGCACUAGGUGUCGGGCUCGCAAGAGUUCGGUGCCGCAGUUAACGCAUUAAGUGCUCCGCCUGGGGAGUACGUACGCAAGUAUGAAACUCAAAUGAAUUGACGGGG
rnacentral:rRNA from 1 species